CUCUGCUCCCAUAAUUCCUGAAGGUCACUUUCUCGCGAAAGUAAGGACUCGUGGCCUUCCUUUGCGUAGGCCGCUACACUUACAGGCAAAACGUAGCGGUCUGAUCAGCUGAAGACCAGAGCGGACAAGCUGACUCUCAUCAUGUCAAAUCUCCCCUCUGCUGUCCUCACCAGGACCUUUUCUAGGACUGGAUUGAAGUUCUUUCGAUCUCGUGAGGAAGUGGUUCGUCCUCACAUCUCCAAUGGCACUUCCAAGAUUCUACUGUUUCUGUCCGUCGUAGGAAUUGGAGUGUCGAUGUACAGCACUCGUCAAAUGCACCUCUGUGAUCAAACCAAGAAAGUCAAGGUGAACCAGACUGUGAAAGGAACAGGGAAUGAGUGAUGAGCCUUCUAAGGACUGGGGUUAUUUCCACGGCCAAUUCCGCUUGUUGAAAAAUUUGCAACUUCAACUCAAAUUUUAAAAUGUUUAAAUGUUUUACUGAAUAAGUUCAACAAUGCCCUUGUGUAGACAGAUAUAUAAGUACUGUUAAGGCCUAGUUUUAAAGAAUUAACAUGCAUAAUAACUGCACAACCGCAUUGUGUAAGUGUUGGGGGGGGGGGGGGAGAGAGAUCUCAGUGUUUUAUCAUGUCCACCUUUCUUUGGUGUUGUUUUGGUGCGUAUUUACCGCGACUGUAGUGAUAGAUCAUCGUUUAAAGAUUAUGUACAUACCUGUAUUUGUAUAUUUUGUAUAAAAGUGUAAAGUGUUGAAAAAGUUUUAGUAUUAAAAUAGCUCGCCUGCAAUUUAUUUGCUCUAAUAAUUCUCUUCUUCGAGAAGUCUUCUUAUAGGUUUGAAAAGUACACAAUUGAGGUACAUAUCACCCUUGAUCAUGUGUUCUUCUAGGCAUUGACUAAUUGUCUGCAGUUCCUUGCGAAGUUAGUAGAGCUGGUAGUUCUGUUUCACGAACCAGUAGACGUGCAAUGUUGAAAAUUCUGGGUGCCGGCAGGGCAACCUUACUUUACAAAGAAAUUGCCUGCUGUGAAAUAAGGAACAGAGUACCCCUUUAUUAAGAAUUUUAGAAAAAUGAAGUUUCCUUUGAAACCACUGCUUUAGAAUCCUGAUUUUACUGUAACUCUUAUCAUGUAUAACUUACUUCAACCAUCAUGCAAUUUGUAAUUUUAAAUCAUUGUUGAAAAUAAAAAUAGCAGAAUUGUUUUCCCUGUAA